rnacentral:lncRNA from 8 species
GGAGGCCAAUAGGAACUGAAAACCCAUAAACAGAAGAAGAGUUACAUAUCCAGUUAUCAGAGGAGGGGCCUCAUAGUCAAACACUGGUAUAGGCUGGGUAUACCUGCAACCAUGAGGAUGUCUCUGUAGAGGAACUACUCAGCUCUCUCACUGUCUUAUCUCUCAGUUGGUUUAUCUAGUCUGUGUCAGGAUGUCACUCAAAUUACUGUUUCUCCUCUUAGCAUUUGUAGCUGAUAGUAUGGAGCAGGAAACAAUAACUCCAGUGAAACCUGAAGUCAAUGCUCUCCAAGGAACAGACAUCACUCUCUCCUGCAACUACAAGGGCAACGUUAAUAAUCUACAAUGGUACCGUCAAUACCCCGGAUCCAGACCAGAAUGUCUUCUUUGGAUCCUACAAAGCAGCAUGUCUGUACAGAAACAAUCCAUUGCGACUCCACGGCACACUGGUAGACUGAAUGAAGAGAAGACCCGUGUUGACUUGAUGAUCUCCUCUGUUGAAUUGGAAGACUCUGCUCUGUACCACUGCGCCUUGCAGCCCACAGUGACAGGAAACCCAGACACACUGUACAAAAACCUGUCAAGACCCUUGGGGAUGAACAGUGCAUUGUACUCUGAUCAAUCAGUUAUUAUUUAGAGUACAUGAAUACAUAUUUUUUUCCUGCAUCUCCACAUCAAUUGAAAAAGAAGAAAGAAAACACAUUUAAUAUUAAUAUUAUUCAGGAUAUAAUACUUUAUACUGUCUGCAUCUUCCUGCUCUGAUAUAACAUGAUCAAAGAUACUAGUCAGAAUAAAUACAGAAUGAAGAAAAUGUAUGGUGAAGUUUUGCUUCCUUAGAGCAAGGGUUCCCAAUAUUUUUCACUAUGUGGCCCCAUUGCAGCAUUGUGGAACAUCCUGCGACCUCAACCCACCUAUUUUUGUAAAGGGUAGAAGCACUGUUCAUGACACAAACUGUACACACCCUCCCUGUUUGUGGAGAGAAUUUUGCAGUUUUUAAGCUUAUUUCCUGAAAUGCUAUACAUUUAGUUAUGGGGUGCAAAGAACAUUUUUCUGUUUUAAAUAACAUUUUCUAAUGUUUUUUCAUGUGAUAUUUGAGUGACAAUUAUUUUUACAACAUCUAUGGGCUAAAAGAACGUUAUAGAAAAACUUUAGCUGACAUUGGCAAGUUGAUCUGGACAUUGCUGACAAGUUAUAAAUAGCUCUCUAAGGUCUUCAAUGAAUAACAUCACAACUGACAAUGCACUACCCAAUUUCGAAAUUGCAACUUGUGCAUUCUACUAUUACAAAUUUCAAGAAUAAGUAUAAAGCCAAACUGAGUUCCUUAAAACCUCUUAACGCACGCCAAGCAUAGGGGCGCUACAGCGAUUUUUGAAAAAAAUACGUGCCCAUUUUAAACGGCCUCCUACUCAAACUCAGAAGCUAGGAUAUGCAUAUAAUUAGUAGAUGUGGAUAGAAAACACCCUAAAGUUUCUAAAACUGUUUGAAUGGUGUCUGUGAGUAUAACAGAACUCAUAUGGCAGUCAAAACCCCGCGACAGAUCCUAACAGGAAGUGGAAAUCUGAUUUGCGGACUCAACUUCAGCACUUUGCCUAUAAAACACACCGUGAGUUAGAAUUCAUUGAGCACUUCCUAUGGCUUCCACUAGAUGUCCCCAGUCUUUACAAAGUGGUUUGAGUCUUCUACAGUACAAACUGACCGAUUGAGAGGCUGUGGAUCUUGGUCACAGGGGGAGGGCCAUUACCAUUAUGACGCGGGUGCCCCUGGCUACCCUCCACUUUCGAAACGUUUAGAAAGACAAUGCAACCGUCCCCCUUGAAUAUUAUUGAAGCUCUGGUUGAAAAAGUCCCUAAAGAUUUAUGUUAUACAACGUUUGAC